rnacentral:rRNA from 1 species
GCUCAGAAACUACAAAGGAAUUGACGGGGACCCGCACAAGCGGUGGAGCAUGUGGUUUAAUUCGACGAUACGCGAAGAACCUUACCUGGCCUUGACAUACUAAAAAGCUUUAAGAGAUUAGAGUGUGCUAGCUUGCUAGAAUUUAGAUACAGGUGCUGCACGGCUGUCGUCAGCUCGUGUCGUGAGAUGUUGGGUUAAGUCCCGCAACGAGCGCAACCCUCGUGUUUAGUUGCUAACAGUUCGGCUGAGAACUCUAAACAGACUGCCUACGCAAGUAGGAGGAAGGUGAGGACGACGUCAAGUCAUCAUGGCCCUUACGGCCAGGGCUACACACGUGCUACAAUGGGGUAUACAAAGAGCAGCGAUACGGUGACGUGGAGCAAAUCUAGAAAAUGCCUCUCAGUUCGGAUUGUAGUCUGCAACUCGACUACAUGAAGUUGGAAUCGCUAGUAAUCGUAGAUCAGCAAUGCUACGGUGAAUACGUUCCCGGGUCUU